GCACUAAAAGGAUGAUAAUUCUUUCGUUAUUUAUUUAUUAUGAAUAUACUUUUAAGUCCGUCUUUUAGUAAAUUUUAAGUCUAAUAGCCGAAAAAAGUUGUUAUUGUAACUCGCCUCAUUUUCUCACUUAUUGGCUGCACUUUGAUUUGUAUUAGUCCUUUCGUGGAAAUAGAAUUUACCUCGGGUAAAUCCUAGACAACGGUAUACAAGCUAUUAAAAGUAAGUAGCGAUUACUUGGUGGUUAUCAAUUACAUGGUAAGUUCCCCUAAAAUACUUCUUUUAGCCGCCAUAAUAUUUAAGUUUGGACCAUCUUAAUAGUAGUAAUCCUUGUUUAAUUAGUUUAAUUUCAAUAUAACUGGGUAUCUAAUCCAGGUUUAUGUUUUGAAUUUAGCACUUAUUUUAAUAUAUAUCAAAUUUAUAAAUUACUAGUAUUUUACAACAUAGUAAUUUUUUAUGCAUAGCAAACAAAACAAUAACUAUAAAUUCAUCUAUUAAGUAUGACCGCGGUUGCUGGCACCUAAUACACCUAGAUUAAACAAAUAACUAAAUUUAAAUUUCUUUAAUUUAUUAAAACUUUUAACUGAGAGGUUUAUCUAUAGCUCAUAUUAAAUUAGACUGUACACUUAUAGUACCAUCAUAUUAAAGUGGUAUAUUCUAAAGGGGAAUUUUAUACCAUUUUAGA
rnacentral:rRNA from 1 species